UAACGGCGAGACGUGAUCCUCCUCGAGAAGCACCAGACGAGCAGAGAAACGCGUACGGUGCACGCCGUGCACAUCACGCACGCUCGUCACCGUGAAUCCACGCUACUGAAGUUGCCUGCAGUUGCUUGCCGACAGCAAUGAUAUUCAGCAUUGUCAGGAUUCAAGAAAUGGUUAAACUGAGUGCAAGUAUUCAUUCAAGUUUUUCCGAGAUGGUGACGGAUGACUUGCGACGGAGGAACGUGACCACGGUCGUCGAUUUUAUCGCGACGGAUCCAGUUAAAUUGGCGACAUUCACUGGUCUUUCGCAUAUGGAUAUAUUGCAAGUGAAACAGCACAUAUUGGAAAAGUUUGGUGGCACAAAGAAGAAUGCAAGCGAGCUUCUUACAAUAGAGCAUAACAAUAUUAUAUCAACUAGCAUAGCAUGCUUGGACGAGUUGUUAAAGGGUGGCUUGUAUCCUGGUCAAUCGUGUGAGAUAUGUGGGCUGUCAGCUUCUGGGAAGACUCAAUUAUGCUUGACGAUAGCAGCCAAUGCCGUUGCGAAAUCAGACAUCGUUACAUGGUACUUAGAUACAAAAAGAGAUUUCUCCAGAUUACGGUUUGAGGAGAUUUUGAGAGCACGGAACUUCAGGCAAACAACCAUAGAGGAUGCAUUGCAACGUACAAAGGUCUAUCACGUACGUUCUUCCCAUCAAAUGAUACAAGCUCUCCGACACCUGGUAAGCUUCUACAAAACGGAACGGAAUUCCGUGCUUGAAAGAAAAAGACCUCUCCUUGUAAUCAUUGACUCUUUACCGGCAGUUAUCUUCAAGGUAACGCGGGACACACGCCAUAGUGAUCUGGAAACGACUUACGAGCUCGACGAUUUGGCCGAAGUGUGUCGAUUCCUCACAAGGGAAUGCCAGGCAGUAGUGAUUACAGUGAACUCGGUCACUCGGUGGGAUUCUACUAAAAAAGAUGAUCUCAGCAUCCUGACACCGGCGUUGGGAAAACACUGGGCAAGAAUACCCGUUACAAGAUUACUGUUAACGAGAGAACAUGGCGAAACUAGGAGAAUUUUCGUUUGGAAGGAUCCAAGAUUCGAGGAGAACCCAUCGUGCGUCGUAAGCGUAGGUGACGCUGGAAUCACAAUGUUCUUCUUGUGCCAUAUCCAAAAGGCAUAUGAUACAUCGGGUCUCUGGAUCGGUCAGCUUCAUUGCAAAAUCUCUCUGGAUCAAAAACUUCUGGUUUCGGAUAAACCUUUGGAUCAUGAUGAAUUGCAUAGUGCUUGAAUAACGCUUCGCUUUCCGGAUUAUCAUCCCUGUGCUUCUCAAGAUUCCCGGACAAAGUUGGAUCCGGCCGCCGCCUUUUGAAAAAGCCCAGUUUCCUCAAUACUAAUGUAAGCAAGAUGAACAAUAGCAUACCCGCUACAGCUGCCACUAUGUAUAUCCAUAUCGGUACGGGCUCGGCUUCCUGCUGGUCCAACAGAUCUGGAUAAGCGAUCGUCUCAGCCUGCAUGAUAAUAUACAGUAACCACUUGCCGUGCGGUUUAUCGUUCGCGACUUCGUAAGGCCAUGAAAUGCGCACCUCAACAGUACUGACUUUCCAUGGGCCUUCAUUGAACACCUCAUAAAUGUGCGAUACUUUUGGUCCUACUUCGUUCAAAUGCUUUAUCGCGGACUCACCGACUACCGGGCCACCAUAAAACGCCCACUGAGUCUUCGCAUUUCUAAAUGCAUAUUAACACAAAAUAAACAACAGAAAGUUUGUAAAGCAGACAAAAUGUGCCAUGUUAAAAUAUUGUAACCAGCAGCAUGCAAUCGAAAAAAGAGAAUAGAAUUCAAAAAAGAAAAGACGUUAUUGUUGAAUGGUCAUUUGGUAAAAUAAUAAAAAUUAAAACAAUCA